rfam:Schistosoma mansoni, Puerto Rico, WGS project CABG01000000 data, contig: 2105
AUCCAGCUGACGAGUCCCAAAUAGGACGAAACGCGGGUCCUGAAU